rnacentral:misc_RNA from 1 species
CGCACCUUGCGCUCUUUGGUAUUCCGAAGAGCAUGCCUGUUUGAGUGUCAUUAAAUUCUCAACUCUACCAGUUUUGCUGUGUAGAGCUUGGAUAUGGAGGUCGUGCAGAGCGCUUCGCGUCCUGCUCCUCUUAAAUGGAUUAGCGAGUUCACUGGACUCCGUCUAUUGGUGUGAUAAUUAUCUACGCCGUGGAUUGGGUUUAGACUAGCUUCUAACCGUCCGCAAGGACAACUCUUGACAAUUUGACCUCAAAUCAGGUAGGACUACCCGCUGAACUUAA